UACGUAGGGUGCAAGCGUUGUCCGGAAUUAUUGGGCGUAAAGAGCUCGUAGGCGGUCUGUCGCGUCGAAUGUGAAAACCCGGGGCUCAACCCCGGGCCUGCAUUCGAUACGGGCAGACUAGAGUUCGGUAGGGGAGUCUGGAAUUCCUGGUGUAGCGGUGAAAUGCGCAGAUAUCAGGAGGAACACCGGUGGCGAAGGCGGGACUCUGGGCCGAUACUGACGCUGAGGAGCGAAAGCGUGGGGAGCGAACAGG
rnacentral:rRNA from 1 species